CCGCUCGCCUCAGCCUCCCAAAGUGCUGGGAUUACAGCUCCUCCCACUGAAGAAUUGGAGUAUAUUUCUCCAGCCCCUAAUGUUGGGUUUAGUCAUGUGUCUAGCUUUGGCCACUGGAAUAUUAAUCUGCAUGACCAAAAACUUGGAAUGUAUGCAUUCAUUUGUGCUCACUCGCUCCUGCUAUCACCAUGAGAACAAGCCCAGGCCAGCCUGCUGCUUCCAGCAGAAGAUAAGAGACACCAAGAGCAAAGCAGAGUUUCCCAGACAUGCUCAUGCUAGAUUAACCAAUCCUCAGCUGACCCAUAGAUCCAUGAAAAUAAAUGACUGUUGUAUUAAGCCUG